GUGGCGACGGGUGAGUAACACGUGAGUAACCUGCCCCUGACUCUGGGAUAAGCCCGGGAAACUGGGUCUAAUACCGGAUAUGACUGUUCACCGCAUGGUGGGUGGUUGAAAGAUUUAUCGGUGAGGGAUGGACUCGCGGCCUAUCAGCUUGUUGGUGAGGUAAUGGCUCACCAAGGCGACGACGGGUAGCCGGCCUGAGAGGGUGACCGGCCACACUGGGACUGAGACACGGCCCAGACUCCUACGGGAGGCAGCAGUGGGGAAUAUUGCACAAUGGGCGAAAGCCUGAUGCAGCGACGCCGCGUGAGGGAUGACGGCCUUCGGGUUGUAAACCUCUUUCAGUAGGGAAGAAGCGAAAGUGACGGUACCUGCAGAAGAAGCGCCGGCUAACUACGUGCCAGCAGCCGCGGUAAUACGUAGGGCGCAAGCGUUAUCCGGAUUUAUUGGGCGUAAAGAGCUCGUAGGCGGUUUGUCGCGUCUGCCGUGAAAGUCCAAGGCUCAACCUUGGAUCUGCGGUGGGUACGGGCAGACUAGAGUGAUGUAGGGGAGACUGGAAUUCCUGGUGUAGCGGUGAAAUGCGCAGAUAUCAGGAGGAACACCGAUGGCGAAGGCAGGUCUCUGGGCAUUUACUGACGCUGAGGAGCGAAAGCAUGGGGAGCGAACAGGAUUAGAUACCCUGGUAGUCCAUGCCGUAAACGUUGGGCACUAGGUGUGGGGGACAUUCCACGUUUUCCGCGCCGUAGCUAACGCAUUAAGUGCCCCGCCUGGGGAGUACGGCCGCAAGGCUAAAACUCAAAGGAAUUGACGGGGGCCCGCACAAGCGGCGGAGCAUGCGGAUUAAUUCGAUGCAACGCGAAGAACCUUACCAAGGCUUGACAUGUGCCAGACCGCCUCAGAGAUGGGGUUUCCCUUCGGGGCUGGUUCACAGGUGGUGCAUGGUUGUCGUCAGCUCGUGUCGUGAGAUGUUGGGUUAAGUCCCGCAACGAGCGCAACCCUCGUUCCAUGUUGCCAGCACGUAAUGGUGGGGACUCAUGGGAGACUGCCGGGGUCAACUCGGAGGAAGGUGGGGAUGACGUCAAAUCAUCAUGCCCCUUAUGUCUUGGGCUUCACGCAUGCUACAAUGGCCGGUACAAUGGGUUGCGAUACUGUGAGGUGGAGCUAAUCCCUAAAAGCCGGUCUCAGUUCGGAUUGGGGUCUGCAACUCGACCCCAUGAAGUCGGAGUCGCUAGUAAUCGCAG
rnacentral:rRNA from 1 species